rnacentral:ncRNA from 1 species
AUACGAAGUUAUUACGCAAUGGGCUAGGGUGGCCCCCAUUUCGCUUUACCAACCCCAGGGAAACUCCGAAUACAGGCCGUCAUCCUUAGUACAGACAGACUGAUUGGGUGCUAAGAUCCAAAGUCGAGAGGGAAACAGCCCAGAUCGCACGCUAAGGUCCCUAAGCAAUCACUUAGUGGAAAAGGAAGUGAUCGAGCGAUGACAACCAGGAGGUGGGCUUGGAAGCAGCCAUCCUUUGAAGAAAGCGUAAUAGCUCACUGGUCUAGCUCCAUGGCACCGAAAAUGUCUCAGGGCUCAAGUGAUUCACCG